rnacentral:rRNA from 1 species
UACAGAGGUCUCAAGCGUUGUUCGGAUUCAUUGGGCGUAAAGGGUGCGUAGGCGGCGCGGUAAGUCGGGUGUGAAAUCUCGGAGCUUAACUCCGAAACUGCAUUCGAUACUGCCGUGCUUGAGGACUGGAGAGGAGGCUGGAAUUUACGGUGUAGCGGUGAAAUGCGUAGAUAUUGGGAGGAACACCAGUGGCGAAGGCGGCUCACUGGACCGGUUCUGACGCUGAGGCGCGAAAGCGUGGGGAGCAAACGGG